rnacentral:lncRNA from 1 species
AUGGCUUCCCUCGCACAUGCAGGCUGGCUGCUGAGGCUCCAGCAUACUGUCACACCUUCAUGUGGCACCAUGUCACACAGGGAGGCAGGACAGGAGAUAAAAAUCGAGGGCGCUUCCUUCUUUCUGCUCCUUUUAAAUCUCCCCAGAAGCUCCCAGUGGUUUUCCUUUGGGGGCCUCCUGGCUGCAGCACCAUCACUCGCCGCCUCGCAGAGGGGAAUGAGAUCACCUUCAUUGGCUUUGACAAUCACCGUCUCCCCUAAUGCUGGACGCACACCACAAUUAGGGCUCUAUUGGCAGAGAAGAAAGGGGAAUGGUGGUUGGGUAAGCAGCCAAGUGUGUCUGCUGCCCCCGACCUGACUGCCCCACCCCCAGUGGGGAGCUAGAACACCUUUUCCUUUGACCGACAAAUCAAAGCCUUGCCAGGAGUCUGCUGUCUGUGGGUAGCUCUCUGGAAUUAUUGCCAGCAGCGGCCUUUGCUGGUCAUUAGCAGACAUCUGGAUAUCCCAUCGGUGCUUUCUCUGCCUGGCAGGACUUCCUGAUGCCUACUGGGAUCUGAGCUUCUGAGUCUUUUGGAUCCUCUGUCUUAUCCACCUGGCUGACUCUUUUUGGUCUUCUAUACCUUGAUCUGUCCCUUCUGGGGUAUAUAUAAGACACUUUGGGACCCUUAAUGCCUUUAUAAAAAAAAAAAGCCAUUUCAUUUUUCACAAUACAGUCAUACAUCUGCAGUUUUUUUUGAUUAUGGCACAAAAUUACCAUGACUUCGUAUUAUUUUAAUAGAUUACUUUUAAAAAUAGUAGAUAAGAUUUUAAAAAUUCAAAUAAAUUUGAAGGAUUCUCUUCUGCUAACCUUAAUUUCUUGGGAUAUUUUUUAAAUGCUAGUUAAUUCUGUGAUAUAAACUAGUGGCUCUUGGAUUUUUGAUAUCACAUAUGGAGAACUGUAGGAAGUUGUUUCUUAUCAAUAUCUUUAAAAACAUUAUUAAGAGUUAGCUAAAUAGAACUAGACUUUUUUUAAAAAGAGAUUGAUAACUUACAAAGCACUUGGAUACGUAUUCUUCUAAUACCUUCUAUAACUAUUGUUCCCAUCUCACAGAUGAGAACAAGUGAGGUUCUAAGGGCUAAAGCGACUCAGCCAGGUUCUCCCUCUCUCCACAUAUUUGGUACUGAAACUAGCCCUUCUGAGUCCCUCUGGGCACUUACCCUUUUUCUGCCACAGACGGUCCAGUCCCCAUGGCAGCAUGCAGGGUUACAGAAGCCCAGUGAUAUCCACGGACAGCCCAGCCGUGCUCUCUGCUCUUUUCAACCUGUGCUACUUUCCCCAGGCUUUUCUUCCCUGUGGUGAAAUUUUCACUAAGAAAUAAUAAAUGCAAACAAAGCAGGUAUAAUAGGUUCAGUUACAGGUGACCAAAACCUUAAAAUAACAGUGAAAGUGUUAGUCACUCAGUCAUGUCCAACUCUUUGCAACCCCAUGG